rnacentral:lncRNA from 10 species
AAUUUUUAAUUUGUUAAUUUCAUUUAGUAUAUUAUGAACAGAGCUUCAUAUCAACAAAGACAAGUUGACAACAUCACAUAUAACAGGCCAGGGGCAAUUUAGUGGCCUCGUGGUUUUCUUUUUUUUUUUUUUUAAUCAUACUUUAAGUUCUAGGGUACAUGUGCACAAUGUGCAGGUUUGUUACAUAUGUAUACAUGUGCCAUGCUGGUAUGCUGCAUUAUAUGAAUGUACUACACACAUUUUGGAUUUUUUUUUUUCAAUGAACUCUCUGUUGCUGGGCACAUAGAACACUCCUUGUUUUUCCAUAUUUUAAACAUUAUGUAUACAGUAAAUAUAUAAGAAUGUUUGCAAUUUUAUGCACAUAAUUUAAUUAGUUCAGUAAUCCCCCACUGUUGUACAUUUAGGUUUUUCCCAGCUUUUCAACAAUUUAAGCAGUGCAACAUCUUUUUCAUGUAUCUUUGCAGUUUCAGUAGUAAUCUGUGAGGAAGCAAGAUUAACAGCAAAAUUCAAAGUCACCUUGAGCUGUGAAUCACAGGAUGGCCAAUGAAAAGACAGAUAAAUCUUUUGUUAAAAGUCUUCUGGUGGCCGGGUGUAGUGGCUCACGCCUGUAAUGCCAGCACUUUGGGAGGCUGAGGACCAAGGCGGGCAGAUCAUGAGGUCAAGAGAUUGAGACCAUCCUGGCCAACACGGUGAAACCCCAUCUCUACUAAAAAAAAAAAAAAUACAAAAAUUAGCUGGGUGUGGUGGCGCAUGCCUGUAGUCCCAGCUACUCAGGAGGCUGAGGCAGGAGAACUGCUUGAACCCUGGAGGCAGAGGUUGCAGUGAGCCGAGAUCAUGCCACUGCACUCCAGCCUGGGUGACAGAGCGAGACUCCAUCUCAAAAAACAAACAAACAAAAAAAUAAACAAAAAAGGCUUCUGGUAUGAAGAGGACUUGCUUAGCAGGAUGUGGCUCUAGGAUACAAAUUCUAGGUGGCUUUCACUAGUAGUCGCUCCUUGGACUAUCACUUUGGGGCUAGAAGCUCAAAUUGUUAUGUAAGUGGGUAGAGGGGAGAGAGGAGAGUGCUCCCAACAUCUUCAAAGCAGAUGCAUGCCAAACUCCUAUCUAGUCUGUGUGCAGCUGCUGAACAUGAGGUUGCUGUGUGCUUUACCCACUGCUAAAGACCUCAUCCAAAUCAGAUGCUGAGUCCAGCUGAUUCUCCCCUGACAAUGUGUUUUUCUACAUUGUUCCUCCUACACCCUGGUUCCAGGCCUCAAUCACUUCUUGGGCUAUUGCAAUGGCCCCUGAUUGAUACACAUGCCCUCUACCACUCUUCUUCCAAGACUUCCUAAAGGUCAGAGUUUGCUAGCCCCUGCUCAAUCAGCCACAGUGGUAACAAGUAACACAUCUUCUGUAGUAGCGUUGCCAAAUGCAGGAAUGAAAAAAUAAUCAUUUGACUAAUAAUUAUUACACAUCGGGUGGUUUUCUAGGUGCUCAGGAAACAAAAAGGAAGCAGCUAUGUCUCCUUGUCCUCUAGAGACUCAGGUCUGAUGGUGAAGACAGGCAAACAGUGAGAGGGGACUGUGACAUGGACUCUCCUAGAGCCAGGUCAUGAGAAGGAUCUUAGUGCACCUGGCCAAGCAAAGCCAUCUUGGAGCAGAUGCCAACUUCCUUGAACUUGAGGAAUCCUAGUGUGUUCUCACCACCUCUGUGCUGCCUGCCCUGGAGGGAGUUUUCGGACGCUGGGGCAGCUCCCACACAGGUCUGCUUAAUGACUUUCUGGAAGAAAUCAGAGGUGACAGAGCACUGUAGAGUAUCACAAUGUGCCGGCUCCAAAUCCCUGCGCCCUGGGCGACUGGAGAAGGACAGGACAGAUGGCAACUGUCAGGCCUUUAAUUGCACGAUGUUUCUCAGAGGUGGCCAGGGAAAGGCUUUGCUGGUGGCUCAGUUUCUGUCCAAUCACUGUUAGAGGGGAGGAGAGAAGGGAGCACUAUGACUUCUUCCCUGCCCCCUCCUCAUCUGCCUUCGCAAGCCCCAGGCGUGUGACGUUGAGAAGCUUUGUCACAGGGUCAGAGUGAGUGUGGACAGCCAGGGGCGGCAGGUGAGGAGCUGCAGCAGGAGGUGCCCCAUGAGCCCAAUAUUGGGGUCUCUGGGGAAGGGUCCAUCAUGGGCCAUGUUGAUUCCAUAAGCAUCUAAACCUCUGCAUGCCCACCCUCUCUUCUCUCUCUGCCCCCAUAAUAGCUUACCACGUUCCCCUUUAAGCUCCCAGCACCCCUCCUUUACCCCAUACCCACAUUAAGACUAUUCUGACAAAAGUGUCUAUAAAGAUCAGAGCCAUAAAAUAAACAAACUUAUGGACUUAGCUAACAUUUCAUAGCACUUUGAGAUUAUUAUUAUUAUUACUAUUAUUUCUUUUUUGAGAGAGUGAGUCUUGCUCUGUCACACAGGCAGUGGCACGAUCUCAGCUCACUGCAACCUCCACCUCCCAGGUUGAAGCAAUUCUCCUGCCUCAGCCUCCCGAAUAGCUGGGACUACAGGCAUGCACCACCAUGCCCAGCUAGUUUUUGGAUUUUUUUUUUUUUUAAGUAGAGACGGGGUUUCACCAUGUUUUAGCCAGGCUGAUCUCAAACUCCUGACCUCAAACAAUCCACCUGCCUUGGCCUCCCAAAGUGCUGGGACUACAGGUGUGAGCCACCACGCCUGGCCCACUUUGUGGUUUUGUAAGGCAUAACUCGCAUAUGUCAUUUGAACCACUAAGCGUGUUAUGAAAUAAACUUUAUUGCAACCACCAUUCUACAAAUGAGGAAAAUGAGGCUCAGACAGGUUCCAUGGUAUGCCCAAGGUCACCCGGCCAAUGAGUAGUGGCACCAGAGAAGGAACUCAAGUCUGCCUUUCUUUCCUCCAUGUUCGCUGGAACCUCGGGCUCCUGAUAAUUCGUGGGAAAAUAUUCCAGUUUCCUUGGGAGGGAAGUUCAUUCAAACACUAGGUUUUUGCCACAAGAGCCCUUUUCAUGGGGCUUGAGGAGCCAAGGAAAAAGAGAUCCAUGGAUUCUGCACUACUCAAGAGGAACUUUAAUUGAACAAUGAUUCUCAGGGGUGGCCAGGGAAAGGCUGUGCUGGUGCCUCAGUUUCUGUCCAAUCAGAAAUUCAUUCCUCUCUUCCUGCCUUUGGAGGCCUUGGGCCUUGAGAUCACCUAUAGCAGCACGGCUUCCCUGCUCAGGGUCAUGUCCUCACGUGUAAGCCUGGAGAAGGAGCAUGUUCACGCAUUGACUCAAGCUCCUCUGCUCAUUCACCCAUAUUCAUUUGUCAGUGACCCAAUAUGGCUGGCACUUGCAAGGCUCUGGAAUAGAACCCAAAGGAAGCAGCGAGCAUCUAAAUAGAGGCCUGCGAUAUGGGAUAAGUCUUCCAGCAGAGAGCUGGGCAGAUCUGUGCAACCGCCAAGGCUAUGGGUUGCGAGUAUCUUUGUGACAGGAGAAAGCUCUGUAUUCACCUCUGUAUCCCUGAGUUAUAAAACUGUCAUUGUUUCUAAGAAGCAAAGGGCACAUUCUUCCACGUGUCCUACGAAAAGAUGUUGAAGUGCCACCUGUCAAUAGCCACUGAAUAAGUUGCCAGCCUCCCACAUCAAGUGUCUCAGGUAUCUCUGCCUCAGUGUCUCUGGGUUUUGCCCAGCCUCGUGCAGGUGCAAGCCAGAAGUGCCUGGCAAAUCAUGCACCACGGGGAUGGGAAUGGGUGGCCCUAUAACACACCCUCCAGUGGGACAAGCUACAUGAUACUGCAGAGGGUCUUCCGUGGGGCUGAAUUCCAGGUGUCCACAGUUUAAAGAUCCUACAGGCAGCUGUGCCAAGGCCAGUAUUCCAUCCACACCUUCUCAGAGCACCAGGGGCUGAAAUGAUGCUUUCUGAUCCGAAGGCAGGGCUUCCAGGGGAGCAUGCUAGUGUCUUGUCACAGGUGAUGUUGGCAUCAUGUGGCAGUCUCCCUCCCCCCGAUAGGCAUCCCACAUCUUCAGGGAGAGGCCAUUGUGGCCAGGACUCCAGCCUGGCUUUGGCAUCAAACCUAAAACCUGGACAUGCAUGUCUAGCGCUCUCCUGGAGGGCAGAGCUAGAUAAGUUGUGUUGCAGCCACCAGUAUCCUGUUAGGGGCCCUGCUCCCUGCAUGCCCAAGUUCAUGAGAGAUGGCCACCUGUGAGUCGAAUGCAGACAGUGAUUUUCAGGUCCAGGGGCUUGUUUCUCAAGCACUCUCAAAAAGCUGUUUUUACUCACAACGCUUCUGACACCAACUGGGUGAAUUUUUUUUUUCCUUACAUCAACCAGUUCUCCAACCUUUCAAACACCAGCUGGGUGUUCAAGAAUUCAAUUCAAUUCUGAUAUUUACUACCUAGAGUUAGGGCAAACCUCAGCACUUACAGGCUCAGUCCCAAGAGACUGCUCCCUUCUUGGGACUCUGGUUGCAGUUGUCAGGCCUCCUGCACUUUGAACGAACUGGCUAUAAACAGGGGAUUUCCAUGACCCCCAUCUUCAUGCUCAGUAAUUUCUGGAAUGGCUCACAGAACUCAGGAACACACUUUACUGACUGUUGCCAGUUUAUCAUAAAGGAGAAAACCCAGGAACAGCCAGAUGGAAUAGAUGCACAGGGCAAUGUAUGGAGAGUGGGGAGCACGGAGCUUCUGUGCCCUCUCUGGAUGGUGGUAGAAACUUAAUUGCCAAUGUACCAUCCUCACAGCGCCUCCACAUGCUCUCCAGACCAGAAGCUCUCUGAAUACCACCCUCCAUUGUUUAGGGGUUUUUGUAGAGUUUUCAUGACCUCAGGUGAUCCACCCUCCUUGGCCUCCUAAAGUGCUGGGACUACAGGCAUGAGCCACCAUGCCCAGCCACCUGAGGUCAGGAGUUUGAGACCAGCCUGGCCAACAUGGUGAAACCCCAUCUCUACUAAAAAUACAAAAAUUAGCCGGGAAUGGUGGCAUGCAUCUGUAAUCCCAGCUACUUGGGAGGCUGAGGCAUGAGAAUCACUUGACCUCGGGAGGCGGAGAUUGCAGUGAGCCAAAAUCACACCACUGCACUCCAGCCUGGGCGACAGAGUGAGACUCCAUCUCAAAAUAAAAAUAAAAAUAAAUAAAAAAGAAGAAGAAGAAGAAGAACAUAGAGUUUUCAACAGAUUAGCCUGAUGGAUUAUUAACUCAAGCUCCAGCUCCUGUCCUGUCCCUGGAGGCUGCAGGGGGUGGUAAAAGUUCCAGGCCUGUAAUCAAGACUUUGCCUUUCUGGCAACUGCCCCACGCUGGAGCUAUCUAAGGGCUCCUAUCACUCAGAAAAUUCCAAGGAUUUAGGAGUUCCGUGUCAGGAACCAGGGACAAAGACCAAAAGUCUAUUUCUUAUAGUUCCACACUCUCAACCCGCUGGCUCUGGCAGGUUCCCUCUCCACAUGGACCAGAGAAACCCACCUCUGUGCCACUCUGAACAUUACAGAGUGGGGCCUAAAUAUUCCUUAUAAUGCACGAUCAGUCCCAGCUCCUCAAGCCACACCAUGAGGAAGUCAUUGCUGCUGUGUUCUUGUCACAGUGAUAAAGAUGUGGCAUGCACACCAAAAGGCAGGUCACCCCCUGGCAGCCACCGCACAGGGAGGCCCCCGCUGCUCUGCAGGCUCCUGGAUCACCAUCUCAUCUGGACACAGACUUCUCUAGAUGCCGCACUGGCAGUUUGACUUCUACCACCACCCGAGAGACAAUGACACCAAACAUCCCUGCAAGCUUUGGAGCCAGGGGUUCGGCAGGCUUCCAGUGGAAUAUCACAUGACGGGUUGCUCUGUCAAAACCCCCCACUAAUUUAUUGGAAUUGUUUCCUAAAGCAAUGAGAGUGGGUUCACAACAGAUCUGAUCAUCUAGAUGCUCCCCAACCCCGGCAUGGGCAUAAUCUAUCCACUUGAAUUUAAAGGCCUGGAAACCUGCAGGAGGUGGCUCCCAGCUGAAUUUCCAUGGAGCCUAGUCUGCACAAAAGGAGACAGAAAGCAAACCUGAGCCUGCGAAAGGGAGACAGGCUCACGGUUCUCUCCCUUUCAUCAAAUAUGGCCCACGUCCUUCCCGUAUCAUGGGAUGUGGGACACAUCAGCGGUGUGUUUAUUUUACGACUGACAAAGAACAAAGGAGCGUUUUCAAAAGUUUUGGGAGCCCAUGGAUUCAGGCCAACUCUGAUUACAGUGCAUGUUUAUUCUUAAGUGUCCAGAUGAAGAAUUCAUAAUUUUACCCAUAAGGACGGACAGAAAGCAAGUUGUCCCCAGUCUAUGGUACGCAGGGUAGCAGAGAGCUGCUAUAAAACCAGAAAAAGCCCACGGAUGACUCACCCAGCUGAGGAAGGUAAACACAUUAUUGUCUUUCCAUUUUUUUUUUUUCCCCAACGCUGGCGCUUCUGUCUCUUUGCGCCAAUGAGACGGGUAACAUUUUAAUUAGGACGCUCACUUGUCUUCACUUUUCAAGAGAGGUGGGGGAGGAUGGUGGUGCUUGGAUAAUUGAAUCCAUAACUCCUGUGGUUAUAAGUGUGCACAACUAAUCAAGGAGAGUGUGUGUGCUUUAGAGAGAGAGGGGGAGUCCGAGGGGGAGGGAGGGAGGGAGACAGAGUAAGAUGGAUGAGAACUGAAGGAUACAGAGAAGAGAGGAAGUGAUUCCGCUCCACCGGCAGUGUGAGCAUCUGUGAAUGGAAGGUACACAGAGCCACAGAGUGAGGAGAGCAGCCACUGAAGGCUCCUGUUUGUGUGCAGAGCUGGGAGGGUCAGAGGGAGGAGACCCAGAGGUGACAGCAAGACUAGAGGUUUGUGUAUGAAAGAAGCAGCUGGAAAGAGAGGGAGAUGCAAAGGAGGAAGUGACCAAGGGGGCUGUGUGUGUGUGUGUGUGUUUGAGAGAGCCCUGUCCAUGUGAGCUGUGGAUCAGAGAAAAAGAUAGACAAGAAGAGAAGAAAUAGGGAAAGCUCGUAUGUGAGAGAGAGAGCAAAGGGAGUGUGGAGUUUCAUUGUGAGUGCAUGCAUGGGGUGCUCCAAACCAUGCAUUUGGUUUAAUGCAUGCCAUCUCGUCUAUUUUAGCUGUGCAUUGUUUUUAUUUUUUUCAUUCAAAAAGUCAUUAAAAAUAAGAAUAGAAAACUGAAGGGAGGGAGAAAUCACCCACAGACAUACCUCUCAAAAACAAAGCAGGCUUUGCAUUUUUUUCUCUAGACAUAGCUGUAAAUCCUAUUUAAUUGGACUUCAGAAUUCAGUGGUGAAAUUUACCUGUGAGAACUUACAUUAAGCAUUUAGCAAACGUUCCCACUGAGAGGAAGCAGGUGAGAAAUGCUGUUUGUUGUCUCUUUUGGCCUGUACUUCUCUGAAGAAGAAGCUUUUCCAAAGGAAUGUCUUAUGUUCAGUUACAGAGUCAAGCCAAUAAAGAAGGGUAAUGCAUUUUGAAAUCCCUCCCUUUUAAGCUUCUUCUGGAUGCCACUGGGACAGGAAAGCCACGCCUCCACAUCCCGUGGAGAGGCCGAUCACCCUGGGAGAGUUACUGCGCAGAUGUUUCUCCUGCAGGCUCCCAGAUGGGGGAAUCUGACUCUCACCUCAAGGAAUGCAGCCAGUUCUUAUAAGCAAAACAUCCACUCGCAUUUCUAACUUCAGUUAUCUUUGGCUGGCUAGAACUUCAAAUCUGCUAGUUUCCAAGACUGUAUAUAUCCAAGAAUGACUUCAUGUUGUCACUAUACGUGAGAUACUUUGUCUUGGCAAGAGGUUCCUGGCUCACGAGCACUCAGAAAAGUCAGGCGCUUCCCCACUGUCUCUGGUCCUUGAUACCAGACCAAAGACGAAGGCCAACCUAAUUUUAUUCAUCUGACUAUACAAUAAUUUUUAAAUUACCUUAAACAUCUAGAUACUUACAUUUUUUUCUUUGCUCGUGUAUGCUGUUCAUUUGGCAAGGUGCUUCACGCAUGGAUCUUUUUACUUACGUUUUUUCUGUAAUGAAUAGCACCCUUUUAACUUGGACCCCAGGGAAGCUCAGGGAAGGUGAUUUGUCUGCAUCUUUGAUUAGGACACCUCAAAAAUUGUAGAUUUUCUUUAGAAACAGGUUUAAUUUUAGUCUUUUCCCUGUCUUUCCUAUCUAUAAUCUUCUCUCUCUCUCUCUCUCUCUCUCUCCCUAGCAUUACUCUCAGAAUUUUAGAAAAUAGUCUCAAUUUGCCAACCUUAUUGCUGACUAGCCUUUGCUUGAUGUCAGUUCUACCCUUUCCUUGGCCUGCUAUCACCUAGCACAGAUGGAACAGAUGUGAGCUUUUCAUCUACCUGGAAGCCCUAACAUUGGUAAAUCACAUCAGCCUCUUUCCACAAGAAUGCUGUUCAGUCCAGGUGGUUCAGAUGGAUUGUCUCCCCCUCCUCCAGGUCCCUGGUGGCAACCACGUGACCAUGGUCUGGUUAAUCAGAGUACUCCAUCCCACUGAAACCGGUUCAGAUACGAGCCAAUCCAAGACAGGUCAACCAGAACCCAGGAACAUUUGCUAGAAAUAUAAGGAAAGGCUUUGCUUCCCUCUGGGAUACUAAGCUGUAAGGAUGAUGCAAGUUGGGACUUGCUGGCGGCCAUAUUCUACUCAUAUGGAAAGCCUUAUUCUACUCACAUGGAAAGCCAUAUUCUGUUCAUAUGGCCGUAUUCUACUCAUAUGAAAAGCCUUCCCAAGAAUGAAAUUAAGGCAAAUAGAGAGACAGGAGGGAGAGGGAGGGAGGGAGGGAGAGAGAAAGAGAGAAAAGCAUCACUGGAGCACCUUGAUCCAGGUGCGCUUGAACACAUUACACACAAUGAGUCAAUGCUUCCCUCUUUCACAUAACCUAUAUUAAGUCGAUUUUCUUUACCCUACAAUGGCUAAAAAUUCAGACCAGGACAACUGGUUCUGCUGGACCUUGCUGGGAUCUUCUCCUGUCCCCUCCAACUGGUUCUUGCAGAUCUUCUUUAAAAAAACCACAUAAGGAAAGCUGUAAUGCCCAGUAUAUUUGUUCCCAAGGCUCUUCCAAACUCUACCCUUACCUAAAAUGUUUUACUCGCGUGGAGACUCUGCCCACCAAGAUGCAUUGUGCCGCCACCCAUCUCUUCACCCCAUCCCCUUCUUAUUUUCUGGAGUUUGCAGGGAAGAGUUGGGAAGGGCAGGGCCAAAAAUGUAUUAAUUGGAGAGAAGAUGAAUGCCCAGUUAUCUGGAAACUAUGCUUAUCCACGGACAGUCUCCGAGAUAACAGUAAAUGGUAACCCUACCCCCAUGCACAUUAUUUCCACAAAUUUGGUGUCGAUUUACAUUUUUAAGAUAGAGAUGUAACGACGUUGGAAUUAGUAAAAAUUUCUCCAAGAUCCUGAUAGCAGCUUAACUCACGGUGUCCAUGUUCAGCAGUCCAUGAGCAGCUGUUCUUCUUUCUGUCUUCAUAGGUCACUUGAUGGGAAACUGGAAGAGGCUACACCAGGGCUACUAGCUAGGCAGACAGCAUUUAAAGCAGGAAGCCCUGCCACCUUUUCUUUAUUCCCUCUUUGAAUACAGGCAAUUGCAAUCUUAACACCUGCUGACUGUAAUAACUUACAGGCUAAGAUGAGUCAAUGUGCCUGCAUGGAUGUCCUGAACAUCCACUGAGUACUAUUUAUUAAAGCAUUGUUUUGAUUUAUUGUUAUCAUCAUCACCAUCGUUAUUAGCAGCAGAAGCACAUUCAAGCAUGCAGCCUUUACAUCAAUGCACCCUCUGCCUCACAGCAGAUGCGCCCACAGCACACUCCCUCCCUUCAUUCAGCUCCUUAUUGAAAACCUCACCUCCUUAGAGAUGACUCCAUCUAAGGGGCACCCUUUCCUCCCUCUCCAUUUGCCCCUUCCCUGGUUUUCUUUGUUUCUUCUCCAUCAUACUUUCCUCUGCCUGACCUACUUCAUACUUAUUUUUUUCAUUUGUGUGUUGUCUGUCAUUCUCCUCAGAAUGUAAGAUCCACAAGAGAAACACUGUUUUGUUACUUGUAGUUUUUGUUGGGAUAUUUGUUAAAAGACUCUUGGUGACUGUAUUAGACUUAACAACACACACACGCAAUUUAUUUAUUGAGUGUUUCCUACAUACCAGGCACUGUUCCAAGUACUUUAGAUGUAUUAACUCAGUUAAUUCUCAAGAAAGCCCUGGAAGAUAAGCACCAUUCCCAUUCCCAUUUUUGGAUGGAGAAACCAAGGCACAAGAAGGUUAAUUAAGCUGCCUGUGGUUCUGCAACCAGUAAAUGUCAGAAUGAGGCUUGGAAUGCUUCCAAGGCUAGCCCCAGAGCUGUGGCUCCGAAUCACCCCACCACAAACAAAGCAACCAUUAGGGAAAAGUUCUCUUAUUGCCCCUGUUUACUGGUGGUGGGAUCAAAGCCCACAGAGGUGGGAGGGAAUUGCACUAAGGUCACAGAGCUGAGAACCUGCAGUCAUGUGUGUGGCCCGAGUCCAGGACCCAAUUUCCUACCCAAUAUGCUGUACUCAUUUCUAGUUCAUUUGUUGCCUUGACAUAGUUUUUGUAUCUCCAUUUGAUAGAUGAAGAAAUUGAGGGUUAAAAGAUCAUGCUGGGUUCCACAACUAGUAAUUGCCGAAGAAAUAAACUGUAAAUGUCACAAAAAAGUGAAUGAAUUUGUAUUUAUUAAAAAUAUAUACAUUUUUUAAUUUAACAAAACUGUGUGUGUGUAUCUAUGAGAGAGAGAGAGACAGAGAGACAGAGAGAGA